UACUAAAUGACUCUCGGCAACGGAUAUCUCGGCUCUUGCAUCGAUGAAGAACGUAGCGAAAUGCGAUACUUGGUGUGAAUUGCAGAAUCCCGUGAACCAUCGAGUCUUUGAACGCAAGUUGCGCCCGAAGCCAUUAGGUUGAGGGCACGCCUGCCUGGGUGUCACA
rnacentral:rRNA from 2 species